ACAGGAAUCUGUGAACCGUGUCAGGGCAGGAAUGCAGCAGCACUAAGCAGAAGCUCUUGUGUGCCGUGAGGGUGCCUGGGCUGAGUUAACUGUAGAGGUAACGUCUGUGAGACCAUUCCGAGGUGCGGCGCGC
rnacentral:SRP_RNA from 1 species